rnacentral:lncRNA from 1 species
AGUAAAGAUUAAAUGUGCUUCUCAAAGGCAGCCACUUCAUGCUGCUAUGUCGAAAGGGCCAUUAUUAUUAUUAUAUUUUAAUGGUAAAAGAGAAAAGGAGAGAGGUUGAGCGAGCGAGAGAGAAGCUAGGUGUGAUGAUGACAGACUAGCUUUUCUGAGAGGAAAAGGAAAAGGGAAGGGAGAGAAAAAGGAGAGCCUCUGAGCUCAACGGAGGAUUGUGCCUGAGAAGAACCCACAGAGAUGUGACUGGAGUGAUUUGCACCCGGAUGCCUAGACUCGCCAUCUGCUCAAAGACUGCUCAGAAAGCCCUCCCAUGCAUUCCCCUGCUGCAUACCAGCCCACUCUGCCUGCAGCUGCUGUCUGCAGGACUUCAUAUCUAUGCCACACUGUGUAAAAGCUGUGCUUCAAGAAAUCACAAAAACAUUUUCCUGCACCUACUACACAGCCUGAGUGCGGCAUAAGUUGACCUUGCUUGCUAAGAAAUGGGGCAAGAAAUGCUUUUUUGUGUGUGUCAUGUCUGUUUGUUUUUCAAUUAAGAGAGGAAAGCAUUAGGCAGAUGGAAUGUACAUGUGAGGAUGAGGAGACAGAAAACAAGUAGCCCUUUCCAUCAAGAUAGAGGGUUUUCUGGGGUUGCUGGCUAUUGAAUGUCACUCCUGAUUUCUCUUUCCAAGGCACUGUACCACCAGCCUACUGAGAUUGUGUGGGAGCUUUCAUGGGGGUUGUAUUUCACU